rnacentral:rRNA from 1 species
UACGGGGGGGGCAAGCGUUGUUCGGAAUUACUGGGCGUAAAGGGUGCGUAGGCGGCUUUCUAAGUUGGAUGUGAAAACUCUGGGCUCAACCCAGAGCCUGCAUCCAAAACUGGAGAGCUAGGGUUCUGGAGGGGAAAGCGGAAUUCCUGGUGUAGCGGUGAAAUGCGUAGAUAUCUGGAAGAACACCAGUGGCGAAGGCGGUCAACUGGCCCGAAACUGACGCUGAGGCACGAAAGCGUGGGUAGCGAACAGG